GUGAUCUUCACUGUAACAGCUGCAGCAUCACAACACAGAGAGGUUUUUGUACGAGCAGUAAUAGGGAUUGUAUCACUGUGGUGUACUUUUGGUAGCGGCACCAGACUAGAUGUUGGAAGUAACAGUUCCCCCACCCUCACCGUCCUGCCCCCCUCUAGUGAGGAACUGUCCAGUACAACAACAGCCACACUGACGUGUCUGGCCAACAAGGGCUUCCCCUCAGACUGGACCAUGAGCUGGAAAGUGGACGGGACCAGCAAGAAGCAGGAGGCCAGUCCCGGGGUCCUGGAGAAGGAUGGCCUGUACAGCUGGAGCAGCACCCUGACUCUCACUGCCCAGGAGUGGACCAAGGCAGGAGAGGUGACCUGUGAAGCCCAGCAGAAAUCCCAGACUCCAGUCACAAAGACCCUGAGGAGGGCUGACUGUUCUGGGUAG